UACGGAGGGUGCGAGCGUUGUCCGGAAUCACUGGGCGUAAAGGGCGCGUAGGCGGCCGCGUAAGUCACUUGUGAAAUCCCGGGCUCAACUCCGGGGCUGCAGGUGAGACUGCGUGGCUAGAGCUUGGUAGAGGCGAGUGGAAUUCCCGGUGUAGCGGUGGAAUGCGUAGAUAUCGGGAAGAACACCGGUGGCGAAGGCGGCUCGCUGGGCCAAUGCUGACGCUGAGGCGCGAAAGCGUGGGGAGCAAACAGG
rnacentral:rRNA from 1 species